UACGGGGGGGGCAAGCGUUGUUCGGAAUUAUUGGGCGUAAAGGGCUCGUAGGCGGCCAAGUAAGUCCGAUGUGAAAUCCCAAGGCUUAACCUUGGAACUGCGUCGGAUACUGGAUGGCUUGAAUUCGGGAGAGGGAUGCAGAAUUCCAGGUGUAGCGGUGAAAUGCGUAGAUAUCUGGAGGAAUACCGAUGGCGAAGGCAGGUCUCUGGGAAUUAACUGACGCUGAGGAGCGAAAGCAUGGGGAGCGAACAGG
rnacentral:rRNA from 1 species